UACGGGAGGCAGCAGUGGGGAAUAUUGCACAAUGGGCGCAAGCCUGAUGCAGCCAUGCCGCGUGUAUGAAGAAGGCCUUCGGGUUGUAAAGUACUUUCAGCGGGGAGGAAGGCGAUGCGGUUAAUAACCGCGUCGAUUGACGUUACCCGCAGAAGAAGCACCGGCUAACUCCGUGCCAGCAGCCGCGGUAAUACGGAGGGUGCAAGCGUUAAUCGGAAUUACUGGGCGUAAAGCGCACGCAGGCGGUCUGUUAAGUCAGAUGUGAAAUCCCCGGGCUUAACCUGGGAACUGCAUUUUGAAACUGGCAGGCUUGAGUCUUGUAGAGGGGGUAGAAUUCCAGGUGUAGCGGUGAAAUGCGUAGAGAUCUGGAGGAAUACCGGUGGCGAAGGCGGCCCCUGGGACAAAGACUGACGCUCAGGGUGCGAAAGCGUGGGGAGCAAACAGGGAUUAGGAUACC
rnacentral:rRNA from 1 species